rnacentral:rRNA from 1 species
UACAGAGGGGGCAAGCGUUAUUCGGAAUUAUUGGGCGUAAAGGGUGCGUAGGUGGCGGGGCAAGUCUGGUGUGAAAUCCCGGGGCUCAACCCUGGAACUGCACUGGAUACUGCCUUGCUAGAGUACUGGAGAGGGAACUGGAAUUUACGGUGUAGCAGUGAAAUGCGUAGAUAUCGUAAGGAAGACCAGUGGCGAAGGCGAGUUCCUGGACAGUUACUGACACUGAGGCACGAAGGCCAGGGGAGCAAACAGG